CACGUAGUUAGCCGUGACUUUCUCACAGGGUACCGUCACCGUCUUCUUCCCCUGCGACAACAGUUUACAAUCCGAAGACCUUCUUCCUGCACGCGGCGUUGCUGCGUCAGGGUUGCCCCCAUUGCGCAAUAUUCCCCACUGCUGCCUCCCGUAGGAGUCUGGGCCGUGUCUCAGUCCCAAUGCGGCCGAUCAACCUCUCAGUUCGGCUACAGAUCGUCGCCUUGGUGAGCCCGUUACCUCACCAACCAGCUAAUCUGACGCGAGUCCAUCCAUAAGCGAUAAAUCUUUACAAAAUUCUAUGAUGCCAUAAAAUUUCAAUAUGCGGUAUUAGUCCUCGUUUCCAAGGAUUAUCCCCCUCUUAUGGGCAGGUUACUCACGCGUUACUCGCCCGUCCGCCACUUUCCACCCAACACGUUCCACCCCGAAGGGAUCACAAAUGGGUUUCUCGUUCGACUUGCAGUGUGUUAGGCACGCCGCCAGUCCGUUCGUCUCGAGCCGAGAGUACAACGUCUCU
rnacentral:rRNA from 1 species